GGUCGGUUAGCUCAGUUGGUUAGAGCGUGGUGCUAAUAGCAUUCCAUCCUAUGAUACGCCAAGGUCGCGGGUUCGACCCCCGUACUGACCA